GUUUACUGCUGAAGACUCCACGUGCCUGGCCUGCAAGGGUCACUGAGAAAUCAAGAUGGAGCUGAGCUGAAAAC